rnacentral:lncRNA from 10 species
UCCAGGCGCCCGCCCGCCGCGCGUGAUUCUCGCCUCGCCGCAGCCCAGCCCUGCGCGCCUUGCCCGGCGGCCCCCGCCCGGCCGCUCCGGGCCCCUGGCCCCGCGGAGCGAUGCUGCUGCUGGCUGCCGCCUUCCUCGUGGCCUUCGUGCUGCUGCUGUACAUGGUGUCUCCGCUCAUCAGCCCCAAGCCCCUCGCCCUGCCCGGGGCGCAUGUGGUGUUUUUCCGAUGAGUCAACUGAGGCACAGAGAGGCUGAGAAACUUUGCCAAGGACACAGCGGUCGGUGGUGUGCAGGGUGCGGCGCGCGGCCCCGGGCGGGGGCAGACAGCGGGGAAGUGGGGUCCCAGCCGCCGGGACCCGCCGAGGCAGCUCGGAACUGGAAGAUGGCCUGUGCGAGUGACGGGAAGAGCCGCUGCCAGAGGAUUCCAGGAAGUGACUCACCUGGGGAAACUGCUCAGAACCC